rnacentral:rRNA from 1 species
GACGAACGCUGGCGGCGUGCUUAACACAUGCAAGUCGAACGGUAAGGCCCUUCGGGGUACACGAGUGGCGAACGGGUGAGUAACACGUGGGUGAUCUGCCCUGCACUUCGGGAUAAGCCUGGGAAACUGGGUCUAAUACCGGAUAGGACCCUGGGAUGCAUGUCCUGGGGUGGAAAGCUUUUGCGGUGUGGGAUGGGCCCGCGGCCUAUCAGCUUGGUGGUGGGGUGAUGGCCUACCAAGGCGACGACGGGUAGCCGGCCUGAGAGGGUGACCGGCCACACUGGGACUGAGAUACGGCCCAGACUCCUACGGGAGGCAGCAGUGGGGAAUAUUGCACAAUGGGCGCAAGCCUGAUGCAGCGACGCCGCGUGAGGGAUGACGGCCUUCGGGUUGUAAACCUCUUUCAGCACCGACGAAGCGCAAGUGACGGUAGGUGCAGAAGAAGGACCGGCCAACUACGUGCCAGCAGCCGCGGUAA